rnacentral:rRNA from 1 species
UGGGGAAUAUUGGACAAUGGGCGAAAGCCUGAUCCAGCCAUGCCGCGUGUGUGAAGAAGGUCUUCGGAUUGUAAAGCACUUUAAGUUGGGAGGAAGGGCAUUAACCUAAUACGUUAGUGUUUUGACGUUACCGACAGAAUAAGCACCGGCUAACUCUGUGCCAGCAGCCGCGGUAAUACAGAGGGUGCAAGCGUUAAUCGGAAUUACUGGGCGUAAAGCGCGCGUAGGUGGUUUGUUAAGUUGGAUGUGAAAUCCCCGGGCUCAACCUGGGAACUGCAUUCAAAACUGACUGACUAGAGUAUGGUAGAGGGUGGUGGAAUUUCCUGUGUAGCGGUGAAAUGCGUAGAUAUAGGAAGGAACACCAGUGGCGAAGGCGACCACCUGGACAAAGACUGACGCUCAGGUGCGAAAGCGUGGGGAGCAAACA